UAUGCUAAUCAAACACCACGUCAGAAAAUAUUUAACACACAGUCAUGACGAAUCCAAGAUAUAGUUCCUACUUCAAGUGUUGGCAGAAUAUUUUGAGUGUUGCAGAUGCUGUUCAGUUUGCAGAGGUAUUUGAAAUGGAAAGAAAGAGAAAUAUGAACAUACAUUGACUGCUUUGAAUAUAAGGUGUAAAAAAGAGUUACACGUGCCAAAAAAUAUGUUGAAAAUUUGAAAACUGUUAACAAGAGCAUCAACGAAUAGAAAAAAGAACAAUACCAGGUCUGGACAUUUGUGGCAGCAUGCAAUUAUUACCAGGAAAAACAUGUAGCUGCACAGAAGACACUGCAGAUCAUAAAAUUGCAUGUAAAAAAGGAAAUCAUUCCUUUUCAUAGAAUCAAAGAACUCUUUUAACCAAGUCAAGAUGUUAUUAGACAUGUUAUCAUAUAUAUACUAUAUAUAUUAGUACAUUUGUAUUUA